UCGAGGGGUAACGGAAGUAGCUUGCUACUAGACGACGACCGGCGCACGGGUGAGUAACGCGUAUGUAAUCUGCCUUGUACAGAGGGAUAGCCCAGAGAAAUUUGGAUUAAUACCUCAUAGUAUUACUGGAUCGCAUGAUUUGGUAAUUAAAGCUCCGGCGGUACAAGAUGAACAUGCGUGACAUUAGCUAGUUGGUAAGGUAACGGCUUACCAAGGCUACGAUGUCUAGGGGUUCUGAGAGGAUGAUCCCCCACACUGGUACUGAGACACGGACCAGACUCCUACGGGAGGCAGCAGUGAGGAAUAUUGGUCAAUGGACGCAAGUCUGAACCAGCCAUCCCGCGUGAAGGAUGACUGCCCUAUGGGUUGUAAACUUCUUUUAUAUGCAAAUAAACCUACUUUCGUGAAAGUAGCUGAAGGUAGCAUAUGAAUAAACACCGGCUAACUCCGUGCCAGCAGCCGCGGUAAUACGGAGGGUGUAAGCGUUAUCCGGAUUUAUUGGGUUUAAAGGGUACG
rnacentral:rRNA from 1 species